CACGCCACCUGACGUGCAGAUCAUUGCAUCGGUAUGUUUUUAUUACAUAGUAUGUCCCCUGCAAUGGAUGGUCAUCACCCACUUGGAGACAUCUCAAACACUUGCAACCGUUGUAAGUGACCAAAUCGUGAAGGAUCUAAUAUCCAGGAGAACAACCUUGGUACUAUUUUGUCUGGAAUUAUUUUUAUAAUUGUUUGGUUAGUCUUGCUGGUUAUAGGUGUUACCACUGUAUAUAUGCAAGCUUGUUAGCAGAAAAAAAAAACAGAGCUUAAUAGUAAGAGGAGGGAAGCCUGCCAUUAGAAAAAUGCCGAGAGUGCAGUUACUAACAACAGUAUCAAACCACCAGGUAUCUGCUACUUGAUGCACUGCUUUAUUAAACACUGUGUUUUGUAUCCAAUCAAUAAAUCGAACUAUAAAUUAUACUUAUAUUGCCAAAGCAUUCCUAUCCAGACAGUACUCAAAUAUUUCAUUUGAGAGAUUUGUUUUGCUCUAUAUAUGAUUUGUAUAAUUGUAUUGAUGACUGAAGCACUCAUUCUCCCUACAGUACUCAAAGAUUUCAUUUGAGAGAGACAUGUUGCUUUAUAUGUAUUGUGUGUUGGUUUUUUUUGGUUAAUUUUUUAUUGACAUAUCAGAGAAUUUUGAGUCAAAGCAGGAAAAUUUCUGUUUCGGCUUUCCUCCGUGGCUCAUGUGUUUGAAACUUUGAAUCCAUGUAGCAUCUUUUUGUGAACUUUGUACAUAAUUCUUUCUCCAAAUGUUGUUCUGACUCCUUUACAUUUAUCUCCAUUGACCUAGGAAUUGAAAAGGAAGGAAGAGGCGGCAUCCUGAGUGUUGGUGGGACUGAUUAUGGGUCUAUUAGAGUAGGCACUUACGUGGGUUGCAAGAUGAUCAAGUGGUGCUGCAUCUAACCUACUUUCAGAAGUGUUGCUCUCAUGUACGUCUAUGCAAUCAAGCAACUCAAAUCCUGUUGAAUCAUGUAGUUCUUCUGGAUGCUAGAUCUCUGGGCAUUAAUGUUUGUGCCGCAAAUCAUGUAGGCAGUUACGUCCAUGUCUUUUGUAUAUUUUGUCUUUCUUAGCAUUUUAUAAGUUUUGGAGUGAGCAAAACACAUGGAUGAUGACCUUUGGAUAAGACUAAACAUCUCAUGGAAGUAUUUAUGGUCCCGUGGCAAGAGAAAUAUAGGCGAAAUGAUUUUGACUCUUAAGAUUUUCUA